GAUGAACGCUGGCGGCGUGCUUAACACAUGCAAGUCGAACGAUGAAGCCCAGCUUGCUGGGUGGAUUAGUGGCGAACGGGUGAGUAACACGUGAGCAACCUGCCCCUGACUCUGGGAUAAGCGCUGGAAACGGCGUCUAAUACUGGAUACGAGUAGCGAUCGCAUGGUCAGUUACUGGAAAGAUUUUUUGGUUGGGGAUGGGCUCGCGGCCUAUCAGCUUGUUGGUGAGGUAAUGGCUCACCAAGGCGUCGACGGGUAGCCGGCCUGAGAGGGUGACCGGCCACACUGGGACUGAGACACGGCCCAGACUCCUACGGGAGGCAGCAGUGGGGAAUAUUGCACAAUGGGCGGAAGCCUGAUGCAGCAACGCCGCGUGAGGGAUGACGGCCUUCGGGUUGUAGACCUCUUUUAGCAGGGAAGAAGCGAGAGUGACGGUACCUGCAGAAAAAGCGCCGGCUAACUACGUGCCAGCCGCCGCAGUAAAAC
rnacentral:rRNA from 1 species